rnacentral:lncRNA from 10 species
ACGGUGGCUCCGCGCUGGCGGCGGGUUCCCCCACAAGGUCUUGGGGAAAGGAGCAUGCGCUGGAAGCUGUGUGCUGUUGGUUUUGAGGAUCUUCAGUAAGCUGAAAGCGGAGAGUCAGGGGCCUUGUGUCCUACCAUGGUAUUUGCUAACGUUUAGAGAGUGCUUCCCCUUGCCGAGCACUGGGUAAGCGCUUCACAUGCGUCAUCUCAUUUGGAACAAGUCUCUUUUGUUCUAGCACCUAUGAAGUGGCAGAGACUGAUUUCUGUUUUAAAGCUGGAGACACCGAGUCUCUCCAGCUUAUUUAAAUAUCUUUCUCAAAAUGUCAUGCCACUAGUUCCUGAUUUCUGUAUUGCCAUCACUAUUUUAGCACUGUUUACUUCAUAUUUUUCUUUAGUUUAAAAAAAAUAGAAAUAGUGGGGCUCACUAUGUUGCCUAAGCUGGUCUCGAACAUCUGGGUUCAAGUGAUUCUUCUGUCUAGCCCUCCUAAAGUGCUGGGAUUACAGGCAUGAGCCACUGUGCCCAAUCAGAUGAACUUUAUUUCUCAUAAAGGGUUGAACCUGGCCGGGCACAGUGGCUCAUGCCUGUAAUCCCAGCACUUUGGGAGGCUGAGGCGGGUGGAUCACUUGAGGUCAGGAGUUUGAGGCCAGGCUGGCCAACAUGGUGAAACUCCAUCUCUACUAAAAAUACAAAAGUUAGCUGGAUGUGGUGGCCUGCACCUGUAGUCCUAGCUACUUGGGAAGAUGAAGCAGAAGAGUUGCUUACCCAGGAGGCAGAGGUUGCAGAGAGCCAAGAUUGUGCCACUGCACUCCAGUCUGGGAGCAAGACAUCAUCUCAAAAAAAAAAAAAAAAAAAAAAAAAAAGAGUUGAACCUGCAUGGUAGCCAUUUUGACAGACUGGGAAGCCUAGCUUCCAGUCAGAAGCCAAAAACAGGCACUUCCAGGGUUGGAAGAAUAAGACAGGGAUUUAUGCUAAACACAGUGGCCAAAUAUACAUGUUAAAUAAACUGUAAGAGGGGUCACGAAUAUUUAUGAAAGGAGCAAUUUGUGCAUGUGCAGUUGAGCUUCAUGCCUCUCUGUGGAUCCCAUGUUUAAAAAAUGGUGGCCUUAGCAUGAUCCAAGGGUAGAGUUUUCUACCGCUUGACUUCAAAAGGUGAAGCAGGGGAUGUGAAAACCCUCACUGCACGUCCUCUGUCGACUGGCCAGAACCACUCCCUGGAUGGUGGGUGAUCUCUUAUCAGGAAGGAAUGCUAGUCGGUUGUUCUAUUGAAACUGCAAAUGGGAGGGUCAGCAUCAGGCUGGUGGAGUGAGUCUUUCAAAAGGGCUGGUUUCUGUUUAACCCUUAGGAAAGAAAAUCUAAUGGCGAUUAUAGAGGGAGGGGUUAUAAAGAGGUGUGUCCGACUUCCCAUCCUGUCAUGAGUAGGAACUCAGCUUCCAAGUUUUUUCUAGGGUCUCCUUGGCCAAGAGAGGGCCUGUUCAGUCAGUUGGGGGGCAUAGAAUUUUAUUUUUAUUUUUCAGUUGACAAAAGUUAACUUAUUGUGAAAGGAACCCAACAACAAAAAGAUAAACCGAAUUUAAAACAAAACAAAACCAAAAAGAACACAAUUUAUAAAUGUGCAAAGGGGCUGGGAGUGGUGGUUCAUGCCUGUAGUCCCAGCGCUUUGGGAGGCUGAGGUGAGUGGCUCGCUUGAGCUCAGAGUUUGAGACUAGCUCUGGCAACAUGGCAAAACUCUGUCGCUACAAAAAAAUGACAAAAAUUAGCUAGGCAUGGUGACACUCACCUGUAGUCCCAGCUACUCGGGAGGCUGAGACAGGAGAAUAGCUUGAGCUGGGGAGGUUGAGGCUGUAAUGAGUUAUGAUCACAUCACUGCACUUCAGCCCAGGUGACAGAGUGAGACCUUGUCUCAAAAAUAAAAUGAAAAAUAUGUAAAGGGCUUGAAUAGAUAUUUCUCCAAAAGAUGGACAAAUGGCCAAUAAGCACAUGAAAAGAUGCUGAACAUCAUUAGUCAUUAGGGAAUUGCAAAUUAAUCACAAUGGGAUACUCAUCAAAAUGACUAAAAGUAAAAAACAAAAAAUCAACAGUUCCAAGUUCUAAUGAGUAUGUGGGGCAAUGGAGCACUUAUACAUUGCUGAUGAAAAUACAAAAUGAUAUAUGCCCUGGUAUGUUUUAGCUCUGUGACUCCACCUAAAUUUCAUCUUGAAGUAUACUCCCAUAAUUCCCAUAUAUUGUGGGAGGGACCCAGUGGGAGAUGAUUGAAUCAUGGGGGUGAUUCCCUGCAUACUGUUCUUGUGGUAGUGAAUAAGUCUCACAAGAUCUGAUGGUUUGAUAAGAGGUUUCCACUUCCGCUUCUCCCAUUCUCUUUCUUGCUGCCGCCAUGUAAGAAGUGCCUUUCACCUUCCACCAUGAUUGUGAGGCCUCCGUAGCCACAUGGAACUGUAAAUCCAUUAAACCUCUUUCUUUUGCAAAUUGCCCAGUCUUGGGUAUGUCUCUAUCAGCAGUGUGAAAAUGGACUAAUACACGUCCAUUGGAAAACAAUUUAGCCUUUCGUCAAAAAAUUAAACAUAGAACACAUUACUCACCAAUUCCACUACAGAUGCUUUCUGACUUAGGAUGGUUUGACUUACAAUUUUUUGACUUUACAAUGGGCUGAUGGGUUAUAAUGCAUUUUUAACUUACACUAUUUUCUGCGUAUGGUGGGUUUAUUGGGAUAUAAUCCCAUUGUAAGUCAAGGAACAUCUGUAAUAGCUUUAUACCCAAGAAGACUGAAAACAAGUGUUCAAACAAAAACUUGUACACAAACUGGGCAUGCUGGCUCAUGCCUGUAAUUCUAGCAAUUUGGGAGGCAGAGGCGGGAAGAUUGCUUGAGCCCAAGAGUUUGAGACCAGCCUGGACAACAUAGGGAGACCUGUCUCUACAAAAAAUUUAGAAAGUAGCUGGGUGUGGUGGCACUCAUCUGUGGUACCAGACACUGAAGAGGCUGACAUGGGAGGAUUGCUUGGGCCCAGGAGUUCGAGUCUGUAGUGAACUAUGAUUGCACCACUGUACUCCAGCCUGGGCAACAGAGAGCGUUCCCAUCUCUAAACAACAAAAACAACAACUUGUACACAAAUGUGCCUAGCGGCCUUAUUGAUUUAGUCAAAAAGUAGAAACAACCCAAAUGUUCAUCAGCUAAUGAAUAGACAAACAAGUGUGUUAUAUCUAUAGAGUAGAAUAUUAUUUGGUCAUAAAAAGGAAUGGAAUACUGUGAUAUGAUACAUUGGUUUUCAUCCACAGUUCCUAGCUCAUAACUUUCCUAGCCCAUUUUGCAGUAAACAGAAUCUCUUUCUCUGACCUUCUCUUGCCCUCCUUUCACCUGCCUACUUGGCAAGACUCUAAUCUGAUUGUGGUCGUAAGGCAUCUAUUCCAGAGAGGGCCCUACCCCAUAUCCUGGAGGAAGGAAUGCUGCACAGAGAGGCCAAGAGGCAUCUGAAUAGACAGACCUUGCUGGGUUUAGAGCAUGUAUUUUUUUGUCCAAUCACUUUUUGAUAUGGUUGUCCAUGCCUCAAUCAUGAGCAUGGUUGUCCAUGCUUCAAUCAUGAGCAACCAAUGAAGUCUUCAUGAAAGGUCAGAGGGAGUGCAGGGAAUUUUAUCCCAAAAUAUGGCUCCCUGGUAUAAUGAGGAUUUUGAGUUAAAAACUCUUAGGUAUCAAGUUGGAAGAGACUUUUUCCCUAUCUACAUAAAGAUAGUAUGGACCCUCCAAGGAGAACAGUUGCUCCCCUCCUUGUCUCAUUAUCCAUUACAGGAAAGAAGACCAAGAAUGUACCUGAACGGACCCUUUUAUAAGAUCAUGACUGUCCCUGAGGAUCAUUUAAGUUCCAAAGAGAACUAUUAAUGAAUUAAUUUCUGUUCCCCAUCCAAUCAUUCUCCCUAGUAACCAUUUAUUGCCCCUAAAUAGAAUUUAUAUCCCCCCACCAUAAUCUGUUUUGCCAGGAUCCAAGUCCGUGUUCUUUCUGUAACCUCAAGAUGGUGUUAAGCUUCUGAACCCCAUUGGGAUAUUGGGCAAUCACUCUGUGAUUCUCCCUGUGUACAUGGUUUAAUAAAUUUGUAUACCUCUUCUUUUAUUAAUCUGCCUUCUUGUGAGUAGAUUUUUCAGUAAACCUUCAGAGGGCCAAGGGCCCUCUGAUGGGUGUCCUUUCCCCUAUCCCUUGCCCUAUGCAUCUCUUCAUCUGUAUCCUUUGUAAUAUCUUUUGUAAUAAACCAGAAAAUAUGUGUUACACUGGGUUCUGUGAGCCGCUCCAGCAAAUCAAUUGAACCCAAAGAGGGGGUCAUGGAAACCCCAACUUAAAGCCUGUUGGUCAGAAGUUCUGGAGACCCAAACUUGCAACUGAUAUCUGAGGUGGGGAUAGUCUUGGAGACUGAACCCUUAACCUGUAGGAUCUGACAUUAUGUCUAGGUAGAUAGUGUUGAAAUUGAGUUGGAGAACACACAGCUGGUGUCCGCUGCAGAACUGAUUGCUUGCCUGCUGGCUGAUGAGGAGAAAUCCCCACAUAUUUUGGGGUCCCAGAAGUCUUGACUGUUUUUGUGUUGGUGUGAGAGCAGAGGAGAAGCAUGGUUUGAGAGUUUUUCCAAAGUACAGAUAUAUUCUACAAUAUGGAUGGACUUUUGAAACACUAUGCUGAGAUGCCAGACACAAAAGACCAUGUGUUAUACAGGCAUACAUGAUUUUAUUCAUAUGAAAUAUUCAAAAUAGGUAAAUAUAUAGAGACAGAAAGCAGGUUAAUGGUUGCUUAGGGCUGGGGGAAGUAGGGGGUUGGCAGGUGAUAGCUAAAGGGGGUAGAGUUUCUUAUGGAAGUGAUGAGAAUGUUCUGGAAUUAGGUAGUAAAGAUGGUCACACAUUGUUAUGAAUAUACUAAGAAACACUGAAUUUUACAGUUUAAAAUAUUUCAGAGUUUGAGACCAGCCUGGCCAACAUGGUGAAAGCCCGUCUCUACUAAAAAUACAAAAACUAGCUGGGUGUGGUGGCGUGCAUCUCUAAUCCCAGCUACUCGAGUGGCUGAGGCAGGAGAAUCAUUUGAACCUGGGAAGCAGAGGUUGCAAUGAGCCGGGAUUGUGCCACUGCAUUCCAGUCUGGGAGACAGAGUGAGACUCCAUCUCAAAAAAGAAAAAAAAAAAAAUUUCAAAUGGGGAAUUUUGUGUUAUGUGAACUUUUAUAAAGGAAAAAGGAAACUUUGGUCAUAUGGGUAACUCAUCAUUUCCCUCCUAGACUUAUAUUGGGAGACUUAAAUGUGAUUAACACAUUACCAGGCAAAUAAUGAAAAUAAAUAGUAUCCUUAAGAAUAAAUACAAUGAAAACAAAGCAAAGUUAUUAAAUUCUGGUCAGACACUGUUCCUUGCAAAGGCUCUUAGGCUCUAAUGUAAGGCCCAUUUUAUACUCUUUUUUUUUUUUUUUCUUUUACAUACUCCCCAGAAGAGUAACAUUCUCUAUUCCUUAAGGAUAAAUUAUCAAGCCAGGUAUGGUGGUGUGUGCCUGUAAUCUCAGCUAAUUGGGAGGCAGAAGUGGGAGGAUCACUUGAGCCUAGGAGUUUAAGACCAUCAGAUGCAUGCUACAAUAUGGAUGGACUUUUGAAAUAUUAUGCUAAGAUGCCAGACACGAAAGACCACAUGUCUUUCGUUGUUGAGAAAUACCUACAUGAAAUACCUACAUGAUUUCAUUUACAUGAAAUACCCAGAAUAGGCAAAUAUAUAGAGACAGAAAGCAUAGUGAGAUCCCAUUAUCAAUUAAAAAAAAUGUAUAUAUAUUUUGAGAUGAGGUCUCACUCUGUUGCCCAGGCUGGAGUGCAGUGGUGCGAUCUCAGCUCACUGCAGCCUCUGGCUCCCAGGCUCAAGCGACUCUCCCACCUCAGCCUCUGGCUCACACCACCAUGCUUGGCUAAUUUUUGUACUUUUAGUAGAGAUGGGGUUUUGCCAUGUUGCCCAGGCUGGUCUUGAACUCCUGAGCUCAAGUGAUCUGCCUGCCUUGGCCUUGCAAAGUGCUGGAAUUACAGGCAUGAGCCACCACACCCACCCCCCAAAAUAAAAUAAUAUAAAAAAAUACAAAUUACAAAUAUUAGAGACAAACUAGCAAUAAUGAGAUUUUCUUGACAUAAUGAGAGAGAUUAAGUCAUCAAAAGAAAAUAUUCUCUUGACCUGAUUUGGUGUUAUUUAAUGCCUAUCUUUGUACUAUCUAAAAUCAUGUCCCAGGCUGGGCACAGUGGCUCAUGGCUGUAAUCCCAGCACUUUAGGAGGCCGAGGCAGGUGGGUUGCUUGAGCUCAGGAGUUUGAGACCAACCUGGGCAACAUGGCAAAACCUCAUCUCUACAAAAAAUACAAAAAUUGGCUGAGCGUGGUGGCUCAC